AGCUUGCUUUUUUGAGACCGGCGCACGGGUGAGUAACGCGUAUGCAACCUACCUUAUACAGGGGAAUAGCCCGAAGAAAUUCGGAUUAAUGCUCCAUGGUUUAUCGAUAUGGCAUCGUAUUGAUAAUAAAGAUUUAUCGGUAUAAGAUGGGCAUGCGUAUCAUUAGCUAGUUGGUGUGGUAACGGCAUACCAAGGCAACGAUGAUUAGGGGUCCUGAGAGGGAGAUCCCCCACACUGGUACUGAGACACGGACCAGACUCCUACGGGAGGCAGCAGUGAGGAAUAUUGGUCAAUGGAGGCAACUCUGAACCAGCCAUGCCGCGUGCAGGAUGACGGUCCUAUGGAUUGUAAACUGCUUUUGUACAGGAAGAAACCUCCCUACGAGUAGGGACUUGACGGUACUGUAAGAAUAAGGAUCGGCUAACUCCGUGCCAGCAGCCGCGGUAAUACGGAGGAUCCGAGCGUUAUCCGGAAUUAUUGGGUUUAAAGGGUUCGUAGGCGGCUUUGUAAGUCAGUGGUGAAAUUUCCUAGCUUAACUAGGACACUGCCAUUGAUACUGCAGAGCUUGAAUAAUAUGGAAGUAACUAGAAUAUGUAGUGUAGCGGUGAAAUGCUUAGAUAUUACAUGGAAUACCAAUUGCGAAGGCAGGUUACUACGUAUUUAUUGACGCUGAUGAACGAAAGCGUGGGGAGCGAACAGGAUUAGAUACCCUGGUAGUCCACGCCGUAAACGAUGGAUACUAGCUGUUCGGUUUUCGGACUGAGUGGCUAAGCGAAAGUGAUAAGUAUCCCACCUGGGGAGUACGUUCGCAAGAAUGAAACUCAAAGGAAUUGACGGGGGCCCGCACAAGCGGUGGAGCAUGUGGUUUAAUUCGAUGAUACGCGAGGAACCUUACCAGGGCUUAAAUGUAGAUUGACAGAUUUGGAAACAGAUUUUUCUUCGGACAAUUUACAAGGUGCUGCAUGGUUGUCGUCAGCUCGUGCCGUGAGGUGUCAGGUUAAGUCCUAUAACGAGCGCAACCCCUAUUGUUAGUUACCAGCGCGUAGUGGCGGGGACUCUAGCAAGACUGCCGGUGCAAACCGUGAGGAAGGUGGGGAUGACGUCAAAUCAUCACGGCCCUUACGUCCUGGGCUACACACGUGCUACAAUGGCAAGUACAGAAAGCAGCUACCUGGCAACAGGAUGCGAAUCUCCAAAGCUUGUCUCAGUUCGGAUUGGAGUCUGCAACUCGACUCUAUGAAGCUGGAAUCGCUAGUAAUCGGAUAUCAGCCAUGAUCCGGUGAAUACGUUCCCGGGCCUUGUACACACCGCCCGUCAAGCCAUGGAAGCUGGGGGUACCUGAAGUCGGUGACCGCAAGGAG
rnacentral:rRNA from 1 species